rnacentral:rRNA from 1 species
GAGUUUGAUCCUGGCUCAGGAUGAACGCUAGCGGCAGGCUUAACACAUGCAAGUCGAGGGGUAGCAGGGAGCUUGCUCCGCUGACGACCGGCGAACGGGUGCGUAACGCGUAUAGAAUCUACCUCUUACUAAGGGAUAGCCCAGAGAAAUUUGGAUUAAUAUCUUAUAGUAUGUUGACUUGGCAUCAAGAUAACAUUAAAGGUUACGGUAAGAGAUGACUACGCGUCCUAUUAGCUAGAUGGUGUGGUAACGGCACACCAUGGCAACGAUAGGUAGGGGCCCUGAGAGGGGGAUCCCCCACACUGGUACUGAGACACGGACCAGACUCCUACGGGAGGCAGCAGUGAGGAAUAUUGGACAAUGGAGGCAACUCUGAUCCAGCCAUGCCGCGUGCAGGAAGACUGCCCUAUGGGUUGUAAACUGCUUUUAUACAGGAAGAAACACUCUCACGUGUGAGAGCUUGACGGUACUGUAAGAAUAAGGAUCGGCUAACUCCGUGCCAGCAGCCGCGGUAAUACGGAGGAUCCAAGCGUUAUCCGGAAUCAUUGGGUUUAAAGGGUCCGUAGGUGGAUAAUUAAGUCAGAGGUGAAAUCCUGCAGCUCAACUGUAGAAUUGCCUUUGAUACUGGUUGUCUUGAGUUAUUAUGAAGUAGUUAGAAUAUGUAGUGUAGCGGUGAAAUGCAUAGAUAUUACAUAGAAUACCAAUUGCGAAGGCAGAUUACUAAUAAUAUACUGACACUGAUGGACGAAAGCGUGGGGAGCGAACAGGAUUAGAUACCCUGGUAGUCCACGCCGUAAACGAUGGUCACUAGCUGUUCGAACUUCGGUUUGAGUGGCUAAGCGAAAGUGAUAAGUGACCCACCUGGGGAGUACGUUCGCAAGAAUGAAACUCAAAGGAAUGACG